CGUGAAGUUGGAAUUGCUGUAAUGGCAGGUCAGCAUACUGCCGUGAAUACGUUCCCGGGGCCCUUGUACACACCGCCCGUCACACCAUGAGAGUUGGGGAUACCCGAAGCCUGUGAGCUAACAGUAAUGAAGCAGCAGUCGAAGGUAGAAUCAAUGAUUGGGGUGAAGUCGUAACAAGGUACC
rnacentral:rRNA from 1 species